GUUUCGAGGUAUUUUAUUUUAUCGUCGACCAGCGAUCGUCACGUAUCUAUUUUUCUUGUGAUAGUCCUAUACUCAUAUUUGCAGUUUUAUCAGAAGGUGUGCGCGAGUUUGCAUACUUGGUUCGAUAUCAACUUUGGUGAUGGCACCUACUAGUGAUGGCUAUUCAACCACAGAAUUGCUUUAUCCAUUUGGAAGAUGGACUCCUGACUAAUUUCUUUCCCGCAUCAGUCUUCAAAAGGGUUAUUUGAUGGUACUGGAGUGAUCUGGUUACUGAAACUAGUAAAAUAAAUUUUCAUAUCCAAACUAAUGGAGUCUUAACCUUGUGGCUGAAAGCAUAUGCAGUUGAAGCUGGUUCCUGGACUAGGAGCAACUAUUGGAGUUCUUAACCCUGCGGCAGUGUAUGCAGUCGUGUAAGGCGCUGGUUCCAGAGCUGGGGGAAGCUAUUGGAUUCUUAACCCUGCACCUGGAAGCAUUUGUAGUUGGAGCUGGUUCCUUGACAGGGAGCAACUAUUGCGGCAUUUUACUUACGCAGUUAUGAAGACACUGGGCUUCUAAUGCUGUUGUCGAUAUACCUUAGGUCUUUCAAAGCUCUUGGUUAUAAUAACAUAUGGUCUUAAAAUUUG